GACGUAGGGCGCGAGCGUUGUCCGGAUUUAUUGGGCGUAAAGAGCUCGUAGGCGGUCUGUCACGUCGGCUGUGAAAUCCCGAGGCUCAACCUCGGGUCUGCAGUCGAUACGGGCAAACUAGAGUAUUGCAGGGGAGACUGGAAUUCCUGGUGUAGCGGUGAAAUGCGCAGAUAUCAGGAGGAACACCGGUGGCGAAGGCGGGUCUCUGGGCAAUAACUGACGCUGAGGCACGAAAGCGUGGGGAGCAAACAGG
rnacentral:rRNA from 1 species